UGUGUCAGCCGCCGCGGUAAUUCCAGCUCCAAUAGCGUAUAUUUAAGUUGUUGCAGUUAAAAAGCUCGUAGUUGGAUUUCGGACGGGGACGACCGGUCCGCCGAACGGUGUGCACUGGUCGGUCCCGUCUUCCUGCCGAGGACGCGCGUCCUUCCUUCGUUGGAGGGGCCGCGGAGUCGGCGCAGUUACUUUGAAAAAAUUAGAGUGUUCAAAGCAAGCUUCACGCUGUGAAUACUAUAGCAUGGAAUAACGCGAUAGGACUCCGUGCCUAUUGUGUGGGUCUUCGGGACCGGAGUAAUGAUUAAUAGGGACAGUUGGGGGCAUUCGUAUUUCAUUGUCAGAGGUGAAAUUCUUGGAUUUAUGAAAGACGAACUUCUGCGAAAGCUUUGCCAAAA
rnacentral:rRNA from 1 species